CACGGGGGGAGCAAGCGUUGUUCGGAAUCACUGGGCGUAAAGGGCGCGUAGGCGGUCAAGUAAGUGGAAUGUGAAAUCCCCCGGCUUACCCGGGGACCGGCAUCCCAUACUGCUUGGCUUGAGUACGGGAGAGGAUGUGGGAAUUCCUGGUGUAGCGGUGAAAUGCGUAGAUAUCAGGAGGAACACCGGUGGCGAAGGCGCACAUCUGGCCCGAUACUGACGCUGAAGCGCGAAAGCUAGGGGAGCAAACGGG
rnacentral:rRNA from 1 species